rnacentral:rRNA from 1 species
UACGAAGGGGGCUAGCGUUGCUCGGAAUCACUGGGCGUAAAGGGUGCGUAGGCGGGCCUUUAAGUCAGAGGUGAAAUCCUGGAGCUCAACUCCAGAACUGCCUUUGAUACUGAGGAUCUUGAGUUCGGGAGAGGUGAGUGGAACUGCGAGUGUAGAGGUGAAAUUCGUAGAUAUUCGCAAGAACACCAGUGGCGAAGGCGGCUCACUGGCCCGAUACUGACGCUGAGGCACGAAAGCGUGGGGAGCAAACAGG